AGAGUUUGAUCCUGGCUCAGGACGAACGCUGGCGGCGUGCUUAACACAUGCAAGUCGAGGGGUAGUAAUACCACUGGCGCACGGGUGAGUAACGCGUAGAUUAUCUGCCCCUAUCACAGACAUAACAUUUCGAAAGAAAUGCUAAUAUCUGAUGAGGUGCUUCGGCAUCAAAGUAGCGAUACGGAUAGGGAUGAGUCUGC
rnacentral:rRNA from 1 species